CCCUUUGUAGCUCAGUUGGAACAGCGAAGGACUGUAAAUUCUAAAGAUAUCCUUAGGUCCCUGGUUCGAUCUCAGGCGAAGGGA